ACUUUUGACCUCGGAUCAGGUAGGGAUACCCGCUGAACUUAAGCAUAUCAAUAAGCGGAGGAAAAAUCAUUAUCUUUCGUGCAGCAGAAUGGGGAUGGUUGAGUUUCUCGCCUCUCUUUUCUGCCUGUAUUCUACCCUUGUUUGUCUAUACUAUUAUUUCCCGGACGGCUUGCUUGCCGAGAGCA
rnacentral:rRNA from 1 species